rnacentral:misc_RNA from 1 species
UUUCCGUAGGUGAACCUGCGGAAGGGUCAUUAAAGAGAAUAUGCCCUUCGGGGUAGAUCUCCCACCCUUUGUUUAUAUUACCUUUGUUGCUUUGGCAGGCCCGUCUUCGGACCACCGGCUUCGGCUGGUCAGUGUUUGCCAGAGGACCCAAAACUCUUAUUAUUAAUGUCGUCUGAGUACUAUAUAAUAGUUAAAACUUUCAACAACGGAUCUCUUGGUUCUG